UUUCAGUGGAUGCACAUGCGCUCACAACCCAGUGAUCUGUUGACUCAAAUGCCGUCAUGGACAUAAGCAGCAUAAACUUUGCCUAAGCACGAGCAGCUGUCACCUUGUGAGACACAUGCUCAGAACCAGGUGCGUGUCACUUCAGUAAUGCUGGAGGAUAUGACUUUGACUUAGCCAUAAAUGGAAGGAGUGGGGACGGACCUAGGGAAGAUAUGGACACUGCAGCAGACAGAACCCCUCUGGAACUGAAAAGAGAGACCUGGAAACUCCAAAUGGCAAGAGUGAUACAGGGUGACAGCUGGAGAGAGAAAAAUCCAGUCCACUGCAGACCUGAUUUGUACAAGAAUUGCACACAUCCACUACCUGUCUCCAGCCAAGGAAUAUAUUACACAAAUAUGGAAGACUGUAAACGUGAAUGGCUGGGGUGAGGGAGCAGAAGCAGUCACUCCAUCUGUAUUUCAGAAUUUAGUGCAACCAUAAAAACCAUUCCUGAUAAAAUACUAG